GAUUCUGUUAUUGAUGUUCUUGCUCAUUGGAUUGCAUUCCAGAUUUUCUUUCUGCAAAUUCUAAUCUGGUAAUUUUUUUUAAUUUUCAGAUGAAUCGAUGAUGUUCGUUCCCUGUAAAUCUGUCUCACAGUUUGAUUGUAGAUUAGAUAAUGUGUAUUUCUGUUAAUGUCAUAAUCAUUCUUGAAUUACUCUUGUUAAUUCUCUUUAAAUUCCUGUCAUUUCCAAUUUCAUUUUGUUAACCUGAAUUUCAUUCCAUAAAUCUUUGUUAAUUUCUUUUCAAUCAAUUAUAUCUCUGUCCUGUUCAUAAUAACUCAGUAUUGAAUCGAUUCAAUCAAACCAAAAUUUUAUGUUAAAAAAUCAUGUUAAUCCUAAUUUAAUAUUAUUGUGGUAAUUCUUUCUAUACAAAAAUUGAAACUCUUAGUUUCUUCACAAGUAUGGUAUGACAUUUCAGUAGAUUUCAUCACUGGUCUACCCAAUGUACAAAAAUAAUCUGUGAUCAUAGUGGUGGUUGAUAGACUCUUUAAAUCAUUUAGGAACACUUCUAAUUAUAAUUCUCUUAUGGUUGUUGAUUUCUUUGUUAAUGAGAUCAUUAAACUACAUGGAUACCCCACUCCAAUUCUAUUGUAUCUGACAGAGACAAGAUGUUUGUAUCUAAGUUCUGGAAAUAACUAAAUAAAUUGAAUGGAACAAAACUCAAUUUCACUAGCUUAUACCUACCACCCUCAGAGUGAUGGUCAAACAUAAGUGGUGAACAUAGAAAUUGAAAUGUAUCUAAGAGCUAUGGCUCAUAAAGAACCUAAAGAAUGGUUGAAACUCCUCCCAUGAGCAGAAUUAUGGUUCAACACCAAUUAUAAUGCUUCUCUAGGCCCGACAUCCUUUCAAACACUGUAUGGAAAGGAAGCAGCUGUACUUCAAAAUUUCUCAUCUGAAAACUCCACUAUUGAGGCAGUAGAAGGAAAAAUAAAGCUAAGAAGAGAGGCAUUGGAAGUUGUUAAGAGGAACUUAGCAAAAGCUCAGGUAGAAUGAAAACUAAUGCUGACAAGGGGAGAAAAGAGAUUGAAUUCAAAGAAGGGGACUUGGUCUUGGUUAAAUUACAGUCUUAUAGACAGCUAAAUGAGGUAUUCAGACUAAACAACAAAAUAUGCAAAAAAUUCAUUGGAUCUUAUAUAAUUAAAGAAAAAGUCAGUAGAGUAGUUGCUUACAAGCUUCACCUCUUAGAAGGAAGCAGAAUUCACAAUUGCUUUUCAUAUCAGUAAGCUCAAACUUUUCCAUGGUCCAGAGCCUCUGUUAAAGUGAAACUACAUCCUAAAGGAAUUAACUCUGUAAUAAACAGAUUAGUUAAACAAUCAAUAAACAAGUUAACUCUGUAAACUCAGAGAUUAAUUAAAACUAAUCCAAUAUUCAUGAUAUAUGUGUUAUUAUGAAUAACAGAAUGAUUUGCAGGCAAUUAACCCAAAUAAAUAAGAAACUUAAGGAUACAUAUGCAAAAGUUUCAAUAAACAUGUGUGUUUGUAAUUAAAGGAAAGUUCGGGGUCACGAGUGCAAAAGUUUCAAUAAACAUGUGACGAAGUAAUUAAAGAAAAGCUCGAGGUUACGAGUGCAAAAGUUUCAAUAAACAUGUGCCGAAGUGAUUAAGGAAAGCUCGAGGUUACGAACGCAAAAGUUUCAAUAAACGCGAUUCGUGAUUAAAAGAAGCUUGGGGUUGUUGUUGCAAAUAUUUCAAUAAAGAUUAUAACCGAAUAAUUAUAUUGAUUAGUUAAUUGAUAGUUAAUGAGUCAAUGUAAUUAGAUAUAAAUACAUGGUUAUUGUAAUCUUUAUUCAUUCAAUUAAAUACAAAGUAUACUCCAGUUAAAACCCGGUUCAGACGACCGGUUUAGUCUGGUUUAAUUCAGUUGAUUCUCCAACGGCUACUUGGGGAUUUAACUCCUCUUUCAAUGGCUCUACCGGCGAUCACCGGAGCUCCUGCUGGCUUAACUCCAGCUCCUUCCCCUUCAAGGCCGAGUCGUCGUUCUAACAUGGUAUCAUCAGUUGGAAACGAUACACAUAUCGAUCCAAAUAUAUUCUCCACACAAAUNNNNNNNNNNNNNNNNNNNNNNNNNNNNNNNNNNNNNNNNNNNNNNNNNNNNNNNNNNNNNNNNNNNNNNNNNNNNNNNNNNNNNNNNNNNNNNNNNNNNGAUUCAGAACAAGAAGAAGAGGAACCACAUCUCUAGAAAAUCACCCUAUUUUCUAUCUGCUGGUGACCAUCCAGGUGCUCAGAUGGUGUCUGAUAAGCUAACUGGGGAAGCAAAUUAUGUUUCUUGGGCCACCUCCAUGAAGUUAUCCCUGGUUUCCAGAAAGAAGACAGCAUUCAUCAAUGGGAAGAUAACAAAGCCUAUAGAUGAGUCAAGUGAAGAUUUUGAAGAUUGGGAGAUGGUCAAUGGCCUUGUCUUGUCUUGGAUUAUAAAUGGAGUCUGCCCUCAGAUAGCUUCAACAUUAAUACACACAGAAACAGCAUAUGAAGCCUGGGUAGAGCUUCAAGAAAGGUAUAAACAAAAGAAUGCACCUAAGACUAGUCAAUUGAGGUAUGAAAUUAAUACAUUAUCUCAAUCUAGUGAUAGCAUUUCUGUUUAUUUUGAUAAGUUUAAAUCUCUAUGGGAUCAAUACAUAGAGAUAGAGAAACCUGAAUGUAAAUUCUGUAUAACAUGUGCCCCAAUCUAUUCUAAAAAGAUUGAAAAAGAUAGAACACACCAAUUUUUGCUAGGUCUAAAUGAAGAUUUUAUGACCUUAAGAAGUCAAAUCUUGGCAUAUUCAGAAUUACCCUCUAUGAAUCAGGUCUUUUCCUUAGUAAUUCAAGAGGAAAAAUAGAAAUCCAAUUUUAAAGAAAAAUCAGGUUUUAAUUCUUCUUCUAUGUUUGCCAAAAAGGAAGAAAAGAAGGAAGAAAAUAAGAAAAAAGGAAUAUAUGGGAAAAAUGGCAAGAAAUUAGACACCAAAUUCUACUGUGAUAACUGUAAAUUUUUUGGGCAUAUUAGAGAAAAUUGCUAUCAUAUAGUAGGGUUCCCAAAUAAAAAGAAAGAUCAUCAGAAGAAGCCUAAAGAUCUGGCUAAUCAAGCAAAUCUCUCAACUGAAUUAAGCAGUGAGGAAUUACUAUUGCUUAAGGAUCUCUUAAGCAAAUCUACUGGUAUGUCUUUCUCUUUUAAUUCUUUAAAUUACAGAAAUAUGUGGAUAAUAGAUACUGGGGCUUCUCAGCAUAUGACUGGGAACCUUGAAUUUUUUGAUAAAACUCCAAAAGAGGAAUUUGAUCACUAUGUGACUAUUCCUAGUGGAAAAAAAUGCAAGGUAAAAGCUAUGGGAGAUAUAACUCUUUCAAAAGAUUUAAUUUUGAAAGAUGUACUAUAUAUACCACAAUUUAAAGUCAAUCUAAUUUCAGUAAAUAGAUUGACAUAUCAUUCAAAUUUAAACCUAAUUUUUUCUAAAUAUGGAUGUAAUUUUCAGGAAAGCAAGUCAGAGAGAGUGAUUGGGCAGGGUGAGUCUAAGAGUGGACUUUACAUACUUAAGCCAAAAUCACAUGAUCUUGCAAACUCAUCCAUAGAAAUUGAAAAUUGGCAUAAAAGGCUAGGACACAUCUCAACAGAGAAAAUGAGGAUACUCAUCAAGGCUCAAAGUAUAGAUGUUAAAAAUAGUCUUUUAAACUCUGAAAAUUGUAAAAUAGAUGAUAAUACUACUGUUUUGGAUAAUUGUUUUUCAAAAAUAAAUAAAAAUCUUUCAAAAAUUAAAGAUUCUUGUGAUAUAUGCCCUAUUGCAAAACAAACUAAAUUAAAAUACCAAAAUAGUACAUCAAAAACCAAUUCAAUUUUUGAACUUAUUCAUAUUGAUAUUUGGGGUAAAUUCCCAAUAACAACUCAUGAUGGUUUUUGUUUCUUCUUAACAAUAGUUGAUGAUUUUAGUAGAGUCACUUGGACAUUUCUACUAAAAUCAAAGAAUAUGACUAUAAAAAUUAUAGAAAAUUUCAUAAUUAGAAUCAAAAACAUUUUUGGAAAAAAUAUUAAAACUAUUAGAAGUGAUAAUGGAGGAGAAUUCACCUCAAAUCACUUCACUAAAUUAACAGAGGCAUAUGGAAUAAUUCAUCAAUUCACAUGCCCAUAUACACCUCAACAAAAUGCUAUAGUUGAGAGAAAGCAUAGACACUUAUUAGAAGUGGCUAGAUCUCUGCAUUUUCAAGGUGGUAUUCCCCUAAUAUAUUGGGGUGAAUGUGUCUUAACAGCCACAUAUAUAAUAAAUAGAAUACCCUCUAAAGUUUUAAAAAACAAAACUCCAUAUGAAAUAUUAAACAACAAAAUACCAACAUAUGAAUCAAUGAAAAUUUUUGGUUGUCUAUGUUAUGCAACAACUAACAUAAGAGAACAUAAAUUCUCUCCUAGAACUUUUAGAGGAAUUUUCAUGGGCUAUCCCCCCAAUACAAAAGGCUAUCUAGUCCUAGAUAUAGAAACUAAGAAAUUUCAUAUUUCUAGAAAUAUAGUCUUUAGAGAAUCAACUUUUCCUUUUAAGGAUAAUAAUCAGUUAACAUUAAAACAAAACAUAACAUCAUAUGAAGAUAUAUAUAAUAAAAUUAUAUAUCAACAUUAUGAGUCCAGAAGCAAUUAUAAAAAUUUAAUAGCAUCUGAAAAUGAAUAUCCUCAAAAUAAGAAGUUAGAAUCUCAAAUCUCUGAAAAAACAAAGACAUUGGAUUCUAACAAUAAAAAUUCAGCUAUACCUGAACAUAAUGAGGAUGUAAUAAAUUCAGAUGCUAAAACACUGAAAAAUGGUCAAGAAAACCAUAAAAAUUCAGAUAACCUCAAAAAUAAAGAAAAUAUACUUCUUAAUUCUCAAAUAAGCCAAAAAGGCAUUGAACAUACUCAGAACUCAAGUCAUGAGGUUCAGAAGAAUUUUAGUGAUAAUCUGAGUGGUAGUUCAGAUCAAUUAGGCAGGUUUUUAAAAAAGAGGAAAUCUGAUAAAAAUAACCUUCAAAACAGUCCAAGUAAUACCCUGGACAGAUAUCUAGAAACUAGCUCAGAAAAAAUAAAUUCUGAGCUAGCCCAUAAAAAUGCUCUGGACACUCAGAUCUCAUGUCCAAACAACAAUUUAAAUUUAGAAACUAGCUCAGAAGGAAUAAAUUCUGAGCUAGCCCAUAAAAAUGCUAUGGACACUCAAUUUCCAUGUCCAAAUAGCAUUUUAAAUACAGAAAAUAUAAAUGACAGUAUACAAACAAUUGGCAAAGAGGUCAAUUCAGAAAAUAACUUAAGAAAGUCAGAUAACAACUCAAGGAGCUUUUCUAAAAAUAAAAAUAAAAAUGCUCUGGACAGUUGUUUAAACCAAACAGAAAAUGAAUCUGAAUCUAUUGAAAAGGCAUCAAAUGAUAGCUCAAGGACUAUCUCUGAAGCUCCCAAUAGGAAUAUAAUAGAAAAUGACCUAACCAAGUCAAUAAAUAGUUCAACAAGCAUUUCUGAGUCACAAAACACAAAUGCUCUGGACAACUGUUCAAAUAAAACAGGAAACAACUCAAAACAAAUAAAUUCAAAUUUAAAGGAUAAAACUAGCCUAUAUGGUAGGAAAAUAACUAAACCAAAGCAAUUUCAAGACUAUUAUCUUGAAAAUGAAAAAGAAUUUCAUGAAUCAAAACAUCCUAUGAGCAAUCAUGUUUCAUAUCAUAGGACAAGUAAACAACAAAAAUAUUUUUUAAAGCAAAUAACAAUUCAUGAUGAGCCCAAUUCUUUUGAUCAAGCUUCAAAACAUCCAAAAUGGGUUGAAGCAAUGCAAAAAGAAAUGGAAGCUCUCAUUGAAAAUAAUACUUGGACUCUUGCUUUGCUUCCAAAAGAUAGGAAAUCCAUAGGAUCAAAAUGGAUUUACAAAAUAAAAUAUAAACCAAAUGGUGAUAUAGAAAGAUACAAAGCAAGGCUAGUAGCCAAAGGCUUUACUCAAAAAGAAGGAUUUGAUUUUUUUGAGACCUUUGCACCAGUGGUCAAAAUGGUCACAGUCAAAACCAUUAUAGCUAUAGCAGCCAAGAAAAAUUGGAAUUUAUACCAAUUGGAUGUAAACAAUGCUUUUCUUCAUGGUGAUUUAGAUGAAGAAGUUUAUUUAAAACCACCUCAAGGUCUUCUAAAAGAAGGAGAUAAAAGGGUGUGUAAAUUAAACAAAUCAUUAUAUGGCUUAAAACAAGCCUCAAGAAAAUGGUUUGAAAAACUAAGGGGUGUACUUUUGAACAUUGGUUUUAAUCAAACUAAAUCAGAUUACUCAUUAUUCACAAGAGAAAAAGAUCAAAAUAUGAUAUACCUCUUAGUUUAUGUGGAUGAUAUUAUAAUAACAGGAAAUAAUGAACUAGAAAUUGGAAUUAUUAAAAUCCAACUAGAAAAUCAGUUUAAACUAAAAGAUCUAGGAAGAUUGAAUUACUUCCUAGGAAUUGAAGUCUCAUAUUCUAGCAAAGGUAUUUAUCUUUCACAGAGAAAAUAUGCUCUAGGUAUCCUAGAGGAAUGUGGGCUUUCAGGAGCAAAACCAUCCACAAUACCCAUGGAAAGGCAUGUAGACCUUAAAAAUGAUAAAUUCAAGUUAAUUCAAAACCCAACCUUCUAUAGGAAAAUAGUAGGAAAACUGAUAUAUCUUAAUAUAACUAGACCUGAUAUUAGCUUCCCAGUGAAUUGGCUAAGCCAAUUCAUGCAAGAACCAAAAGAAAUACAUUUACAGGUAUUAUUCAAAUUAAUAAGAUAUAUUAAGAAUGCACCUGGACAAGGUCUAAUAUAUAAUAGAAAUGAUAAUAUGGUCUUGCAAGGCUAUUGUGAUGCUGAUUGGGCAUCAUGUCAAGUGAGUAGAAAAUCAUUGACAGGGUUUUGCUUAAUGUUGGGAGAUUCACUAAUCUCAUGGAAAACUAAAAAACAGGCCACAGUUGCAAGGUCAUCAUGUGAAGCUGAAUAUAGAGCAAUAGCUCAGACAACAUGUGAAAUUACAUGGAUCCAUCAAUUAAUGGAUGAAUUGAGAAUUAAAAUUAAAAAACCUACAGAGCUCUUUUGUGAUAACAAAUCUGCCAUUUAUCUGGCAAAUAACCCUGUUUUUCAUGAAAGAACAAAACAUAUAGAGAUAGAUUGUCAUUUCAUAAGAGAAAUGAUAAAUCAAAGAAAAUUUUUCAUAAAGCAAAUAGGAACUAAGUUCCAAUUAGCAGAUUUUUUAACUAAAGCAUUAGGUGAUAAAGAGAUCACUAAUUCCCUUUUCAAGCUUGGAAUACUCAAUAUCUAUUCCAAGGCUUGAGGGGGGAGUAAAGGAAUUAACUCUGUAAUAAACAGAUUAGUUAAACAAUUAAUAAACAAGUUAACUCUGUAAAUCCAGAGAUUAAUUAAAACUAAUCCAAUAUCCAGGAUAUAUGUGUUAUUAUGAAUAACAGAAUGAUGUGCAGGCAAUUAACCCAAAUAAAUAAGAAACUUAAGGAUACAUAUGCAAAAGUUUCAAUAAACAUAUGCGUUGGUAAUUAAAGGAAAGUUCGAGGUUACGAGUUCAAAAGUUUCAAUAAACAUGUGACGAAGUAAUUAAAGGAAAGCUCGAGGUUACGAGUGCAAAAGUUUCAAUAAACAUGUGCCGAAGUGAUUAAAGGAAAGCUCGAGGUUACAAACGCAAAAGUUUCAAUAAACGCGAUUCGUGAUUAAAAGAAGCUUGGGGUUGUUGUUGCAAAUAUUUCAAUAAAGAUUAUAACCGAAUAAUUAUAUUGAUUAGUUAAUUGAUAGUUAAUGAGUCAAUGUAAUCAGAUAUAAAUACAUGGUUAUUGUAAUCUUUAUGAAAUCAAUCAAAUACAAAGUAUACUCCAGUUAAAACCCGGUUCAGACGACCGGUUUAGUCUGGUUUAAUUCAGUUGAUUCUCCAACGGCUACUUGGGGAUUUAACUCCUCUUUCAAUGGCUCUACCGGCGAUCACCGGAGCUCCUGCUGGCUUAACUCCAGCUCCUUCCCCUUCAAGGCCGAGUCGUCGUUCUAACACAUCCACUAAUCUUAGUAAGAAAUAAUUCAAUUUUUUAUCCAGUAGUUAUUUUUGAUUGUAUGGAAAUAUAUAGACAAGGGAAGAAGAUACCUCAAUCGCUGGUACAAUGGAGCUACUUCCGAUCAAAGUUACCGUCCAGAACUCUCAACGAUGGCCCCUCUCUUUAUGUUCGUCCCUUCAACACAACCCUCAGACGCUCCGAACCAUCUCAAAUUCCGAAAGGAUCCUCCCUAUCUAGAUUUGCAAUCUACUCUCCGGUUACUGGAAAAAAAAAGUUCGCCUGGAAUCAUCAUAGACUCGAUCUGUCUCACUAAAUCCAGAUCGAAUUAUGAUCUUAGAUCGGAAACACAAGGCCCUUUUCAGGUCCUAUUGAUCCCAUAUAGAAUUCGGAUUUAAUCCUUGAUACACUUGUCAGAUUUAAUACUUAUUACUAAUUAUUUACUGAGAAGUACGAUGAGUAAGAUGCCAAAC
rnacentral:lncRNA from 1 species